UACGGAGGGUGCGAACGUUGUUCGGAAUUACUGGGCGUAAAGCGCGUGUAGGCGGCAGCGCAAGUCGGGCGUGAAAUCCCACGGCUCAACCGUGGAAGUGCACUCGAAACUGCGCAGCUAGAGUCCUGGAGAAGAAGGUGGAAUGCUUGGUGUAGAGGUGAAAUUCGUAGAUAUCAAGCGGAACACCGGUGGCGAAGGCGGCCUUCUGGACAGUGACUGACGCUGAGACGCGAAAGCGUGGGGAGCAAACAGG
rnacentral:rRNA from 1 species